rnacentral:rRNA from 1 species
UACGGAGGGUGCAAGCGUUGUUCGGAAUUAUUGGGCGUAAAGCGCGCGUAGGCGGCUUUGCAAGUCGGGUGUGAAAGCCCUCAGCUUAACUGAGGAAGUGCGCCCGAAACUGCAGAGCUUGAGUGUCGGAGAGGAUGGCGGAAUACCCCAAGUAGAGGUGAAAUUCGUAGAUAUGGGGUGGAACACCGGUGGCGAAGGCGGCCAUCUGGACGAUAACUGACGCUGAGGCGCGAAAGCGUGGGUAGCAAACAGG